rnacentral:rRNA from 1 species
AUACGGAGGGUCCAAGCGUUAUCCGGAAUCAUUGGGUUUAAAGGGUCCGCAGGCGGUCAAUUAAGUCAGAGGUGAAAGCCCAUCGCUCAACGAUGGAACUGCCUUUGAUACUGGUUGACUUGAGUUAUACGGAAGUAGAUAGAAUAAGUAGUGUAGCGGUGAAAUGCAUAGAUAUUACUUAGAAUACCGAUUGCGAAGGCAGUCUACUACGUAUAUACUGACGCUGAGGGACGAAAGCGUGGGGAGCGAACAGGAUUAGAAACCCAGUAGUCC